AUUGAACGCUAGCGGGAUGCUUUAUACAUGCAAGUCGAACGAGUGGCGGACGGGUGAAUAAUAUAUCAGAACGUGCGCAGUAGCGGGGGAUAACUACUCGAAAGAGUGGCUAAUACUGCUUACUAUUGGAGCGGCUGAUAUCGGAUUAGCUAGUUGGUGGGGUAAAGGCUCACCAAGGCAAAGAUCCGUAGCUGGUUUGCGAGGACGACCAGCCACACUGGGACUGAGAGACGGCCCAGACUCCUACGGGAGGCAGCAGUGGGGAAUUUUGGGCAAUGGGGGAAAGCCUGAUCCAGCCAUCCCGCGUGUAUGAGAAGGCCUUCGGAUUGUAAAGUACUUUUGGCAGAGAAGCGGUAUCUGCAGAAUAAGCACCGGCUAACUACGUGCCAGCAGCCGCGGUAAUUC
rnacentral:rRNA from 1 species